GACGUAGGGCGCGAGCGUUGUCCGGAUUUAUUGGGCGUAAAGAGCUCGUAGGCGGCUUGUCGCGUCGACUGUGAAAACCUAAGGCUCAAUCUUGGGCUUGCAGUGGGUACGGGCAGACUAGAGUGCGGUAGGGGUGACUGGAAUUCUUGGUGUAGCGGUGAAAUGCGUAGAUAUCAAGAGGAACACCUGAGGUGAAGACGGGUUGCUGGGCCGAUACUGACGCUGAGGAGCGAAAGCGUGGGGAGCGAACAGG
rnacentral:rRNA from 1 species